AUAAAAUAUACAUAACAUAAAAUUUACCAUCUUAACCAUUUUUAAAUGAAUGUAGCAGUAAGUGAACUGGCAUCGAGUACAUUCACACUGCUGUACAACCAUCUUUUUCUAAAACAUGUUAACUUCCAUAUGCCACAGGUGUGGCCCUAAAAAGCAAAAAAUAAGAUAGCUCAAAAAAAAGAGGAGUUUCCUGGUGUUCAUUUUUUAUGUGGUACCCAGAUUUCUGAAACAUUCAUGAUUAUUAAGAUUUUUUUUUCAUUGUGAAGAGUAUUUAUUUUAGUUGCUGUAACUAUUAAGAUUUUAACCUUCCAGUGAUUUAAAUUAGCACUGGUAAAUAAAGUCAAGUAAUAAUAUACAUGAGCAAUAUUGACACCAAAUAAUAAAAAUGACCAAAGAAAACUAUUUCUCAAAAGUAAUGUAUUCAUCUUCCAGAGAACAAACUGUAAAUGUACUCUAGGGUUGUGCAAAUUAUCAACGUAAGUUAAAAAAUUUUAAAAAGAAAUUAUUUAAGCUUUCCUAGAUGACAUAUGCAUUUAAAACUAGACAAAUACAGUUUAAAAAUUUAAACUGUAUUUGCUCCAGUUAGCUCCCUCUAAAUUUAUGCGUUUUGCUAAAGUUACGGAGUGAAACUACUAUAUAUAAAAAUAGAUAAUCAACAAGGACCUACUAUAGAGCACAGGGAACUCUACAUAAUAUUCUAUAAUAACCUAUAUGGGAAAAAUGAAACUGAAAAAGAAUGGACAUAUGAAUAUGUGUAACUGAAUCACUUUAGUGCACACCUGAAACUACCACAACAUUGUAAUUCAGUACUACAACAUAAAAUAUAAAUUUUUUUUAAAAGUUACUGAGAGGAAAAGGUACACCGCUCAUAAUGACAGGGCAAGUUAGAAACUGUUCCUCUAUAAUACAAAGCCAGCUGGACAGCAGAGAAAAGUCUUCUACAGCAAAACCCAAGGUGUUUUCACAUUCAAGUGAGCUCAUCACCACUGCAGUGCCAGAUAGAAAGCCACGGUGCUGAGCUGAGCUGAGCUGGGGGGAGGCCAUGCGGAGCCUGGGAGGCAGAAGAUGACUCGGUCAUCGUAACAGUUUCAAUUCUUCCAAACUUAGUUUCUUCAUUUAGCACAAAGUGGCACUUCAAGUGCUACUCCCCAAACAGCCCAUGGCCCUUUCCACUUACAGAAAAGUCAAUGAGAGAAUACCAUGGUGGAUCAGAACUGGUGUCUUAUAUUGAUUAGACCAGAGCCUUGCCAGGAGGGGCCUUCGCUACUCACCCACCAAUGAUCUCUAUGGAUAAAUGAGGACCAAAUCAGGCUUCUAAGCAAGGCCCAAAACUGGGCACAAGCCCAGAGAGACAGGAUAAAAACUAAUGACCUUCAACAUAAUUUUAGAAGCCAAACUAAAAAAAAAAAAAAAAAAAAAAAUCUACUGAAAAAACAUUUCAUUUUACAUAAAUUUUUGAAUUAUAUUCCAUAGAGCUUCAUAGAUUCUACAAAUGGGUUUUAUAAAAUGGGACUCUUUUAAAAGACAAAA
rnacentral:lncRNA from 9 species